rnacentral:rRNA from 1 species
UACGUAGGGGGCGAGCGUUAAUCGGAAUUACUGGGCGUAAAGCGUGCGCAGGCGGUUUUGUAAGCCAGAUGUGAAAUCCCCGGGCUCAACCUGGGAAUGGCAUUUGGGACUGCAAGGCUCGAGUGCGGCAGAGGAGACUGGAAUUCCUGGUGUAGCAGUGAAAUGCGUAGAUAUCAGGAGGAAUACCUAUGGCGAAGGCAGGUCUCUGGGCUGACACUGACGCUCAUGCACGAAAGCGUGGGGAGCAAACAGG